AUACGUAGGGAGCGAGCGUUGUCCGGAAUUACUGGGUGUAAAGGGUGCGUAGGCGGGACUGCAAGUCAGGCGUGAAAUACCGGGGCUUAACUCCGGGGCUGCGCUUGAAACUGUGGUUCUUGAGUGAAGUAGAGGCAGGCGGAAUUCCUAGUGUAGCGGUGAAAUGCGUAGAUAUUAGGAGGAACACCAGUGGCGAAGGCGGCCUGCUGGGCUUUAACUGACGCUGAGGCACGAAAGCAUGGGGAGCAAACAGGAUUAGAUACCCUGGUAGUCCAUGCUGUAAACGAUGAUAGCUAGGUGUGGGGGGACUGACCCCUUCCGUGCCGGAGUUAACACAAUAAGCUAUCCACCUGGGGAGUACGACCGCAAGGUUGAA
rnacentral:rRNA from 1 species